rnacentral:rRNA from 1 species
AACUUUCAACAACGGAUCUCUUGGUUCUGGCAUCGAUGAAGAACGCAGCGAAAUGCGAUAAGUAAUGUGAAUUGCAGAAUUCAGUGAAUCAUCGAAUCUUUGAACGCACAUUGCGCCCGGCAGUAAUCUGCCGGGCAUG